CUCUACUACACCGACUGACGAAGGAUGAGGAGCGGGCUAGAAGCUGAGGACACGCCCGAGCCGGAGGACACAGGAUCAAGUAAGGAUUGGACUCAAUUGUUUGUUGGACUCUGGAGGAGGCCUACCACAUGGUCAUCACAACUACGUCACGGGGCACGCUCUGGAGAGCACAUAGCACCCACCACUCACCACUGGAUUCCCUCGACUCAACUUCCCCUUUUUUGCCACCAGCACAUUUAUUGUAUAUACUUCACACAUUAAAUUAUUUAAUCUUA